CUCGCACUAAAAUCCCACGCGAAAUCCCUCAAAACACCAGAUCGACGAAAAUCUCAAAUCUUGCUUCAAAAACAUUCAAAUCUGAAUUAAAAUCAGCAGAAAAUUCAGAAAGGAUGGGAUUGAUUAAGAGCUGCUUUUCGUUCAUGAUGGGCACAGCCUUCGGAGUUUACGUAGCCCAGAAUUACAACGUCCCCAAUGUCCAGAAGCUGUUCAACACUGGCCUCUUGAUCGCCAAGCACAUUGAAGAAAAUUACCGCAAGCCUAAAAAGCGCGACGUUGAUGAAUAGCACCACAAAAGAAGCCGCCUUCCACCCGUUAGUUGUUUUUAGUGUUUCGUUUUACAGGGAUUUAUGUGAAAGAAAAUUAAUGAAGGGAAGAAGAAUCUAUACUUGCUCCUCCAUAUUUGGAAAAGGGAUCAUUCGUAUUUUAGUUCAAUGGUUUCAGAGUGCUGGAAGAAUCGUGCUAACCUGGGUUGUAAUAUUUUUAGAAUAUGUAAGGACGGUAGUGUGAAGGCGAGAUUUAAUUUUGUAAAAAGGGGAUGGUGUUAACAUUUCUUGAUUCUCCUCAGGACAAUAUGUGCAGACAAGCUCAAUUAAAGAUGAGCCAUUUUUGAAGGCUAGUGGAGCCCUUUUCUGCA